rnacentral:rRNA from 1 species
GAUGAACGCUGGCGGCGUGCCUAAUACAUGCAAGUCGAGCGAACGGACGAGAAGCUUGCUUCUCUGAUGUUAGCGGCGGACGGGUGAGUAACACGUGGAUAACCUACCUAUAAGACUGGGAUAACUUCGGGAAACCGUAGCUAAUACCGGAUAAUAUUUUGAACCGCAUGGUUCAAAAGUGAAAGACGGUCUUGCUGUCACUUAUAGAUGGAUCCGCGCUGCAUUAGCUAGUUGGUAAGGUAACGGCUUACCAAGGCAACGAUGCAUAGCCGACCUGAGAGGGGUAUCGGCCACACGGAAUCUGAGACACGGUCGAGACCCCUAGGGGAGGAAGCUGUAGGGAAUCGUCCGCAAGGGGCGAAAGCCUGACGGAGCAACGCCGCGUGAGUGAUGAAGGUCUUGGGAUCGUAAAACUCUGUUAUUAGGGAAGAAAAUAUGUGUAAGUAACUGUGCACAUUUUGAGGGUACCAAAUCAGAAAGCCACGGCUAACUGCG